rnacentral:rRNA from 1 species
UACGUAGGGGGGCAAGCGUUGUCCGGAAUCAUUGGGCGUAAAGAGCGUGUAGGCGGCUCGAUAAGUCUGCUGUGAAAGUCCAGGGCUCAACCCUGGAAGGCCGGUGGAAACUGUCGGGCUAGAGUCCGGAAGAGGCGAGUGGAAUUCCCGGUGUAGCGGUGAAAUGCGCAGAUAUCGGGAGGAACACCAAUGGCGAAGGCAGGUCUCUGGGCAUUAACUGACGCUGAGGAGCGAAAGCAUGGGGAGCGAACAGG